rnacentral:rRNA from 1 species
CCGACGGUGAGGGGUGAAAGCUGGGGGCACGAACCGGAUUAGAUACCCGGGUAGUCCCAGCCGUAAACGAUGCUCGCUAGGUGUCUGGGAUGGUGCGACCGUUUCAGGUGCCGCAGGGAAGCCGUGAAGCGAGCCACCUGGGAAGUACGGCCGCAAGGCUGAAACUUAAAGGAAUUGGCGGGGGAGCACUACAACGGGUGGAGCCUGCGGUUUAAUUGGACUCAACGCCGGAAAACUCACCUGGGGC